rnacentral:lncRNA from 12 species
CUGAUCCAAUACCAACAGGUUCUUUAAAGUUGUGGAAAGAACAUUUAUUUAAAUACGUGUUUGCAGGGAUAGGCCCUUGCUCCAAGAACAAUGAUGUAAGUAUUAACCUACAGGCAAAUUUGAAUAAAAACAAGUCUACUGAAGGGGAGGAUUAAGUGAAAUUCCUUAAACAGAUUUUUAAGACUGCUGUGAACUCUUUUUGUCUGUCUUGAGUAAGUGUGUUACUCUUUAAUGAGAUUAUUUUGAUGUUUUCACCAGGUUUGAGUGCAAUGUAUAACAAAGCUCUCUUUCUGUUCCCCUUUCCUCCCAAGGAAAUGUCUUUCUGUUGGGCUAACAGUUGAUAGCCGAAUUAUUAUACCCAAUUGUUCUGAUUUAUACAUUCCAGGUCUGCCUGUAGGAUUUUAUAUUCUGACUGCCUCUGGGCUAUGUCGACACCAGAUACACCAACUGCCUGAGAGCAGAUGAUAAGGGGGAAAUCAGAAGACAUUUUCUGGGUGGCUCAGUCAGGCGUUAAGGCAGAAAUAAGGAUUGCAUGGUGGCCUGCUGAGUCUGGGAGUCUUUGGCUGUCAUGGCUGGAGGCAUCGCUUCCUCACCUGAAGGGAUUGCAGCUGAGAAACCAAGCCACAAGCUGUUCAAGAGGAAUUAGCACUAACCCCUGGAUGCAGCUUGAGCACAUGAAAAGAGGAAGUAGUGGGGAAGAAAGGGUUAAUGAGAGAAGCAGCCCAGGUUGGUGAAAGAUAGGGAAACCUCAGUAAUGUUCUGUGGGCACUGGCUGGCCCCAUGGCUACAUGUUCACUCACAGGUAGCCAUUUGGGCUUUUCUUUCCCUUUCUGGGGAGAGACAUUUAUUACUCUAUGGAAUUCAAUUGACAUUUUGAUUUUAAAGUGCCUCAUGCAAAUUUUGGAUGAGCUAGUUACAAAACUUUGAGGCCAACAUGCAUAUUUAUGAGUUUAUAUGUAAAAUUUAUGAGUUUAUGUGUCCCAACCCAUGAAAAAGCCUUCUGUCCCUUGUGUGAAUCAUCACGAUCAGAACUAGGACUGGCUAUUGGCAGCUCCAGGAAUCGAAUUCUGAAGCCAGAGAGUUCUUUUUGGACCUUGGUGUUGGUCCAAGGCCUGUGGUAUUAGGUGAUCCAUGGAUGAUGUGGUUUUGCUAUUCUAUCGGAGGGUUUCAUCUGUUUACUUAUGAAAUCCCUGGGACCAUGCUAGGCUGAGGUGAAAAGAAAACUGGCUUUGGACUCAGACACUGGCUGGACCACUAUUAAUUUUUUGACCUCCCUGAGCCUCAGUUUCCAUACUUGAAAAUAGGAAUAACUCUUAAAUGCUUGAGUCAUAGAAUUGCUCAAAAAGUACUUGUGAACUGAAUGAAUAUUUCCUUCCCUACCUCAAAUCAGCCUACUUCUGUCCCGCCUCUUUAUCCUUUCUAUCGCUGGGUCUUAAUCAAAAGCACUUCUUAGAGAUGGUUUUUGAUAUGUUAAUAUACCUCAAGUAAAUUUAGGGCACUGUUACCUGUCUUAGGGCCAUCUUUAAACUUUGUCUCUAACCAUGGAAAGAAAGUUUUUUGUCUCCUUUGGAGGGGUUUUACUUAUUAUUAAGUGGAAAGGCAUUGGUGGUACCACUUAAAGUAUGCCCCAUAGGGUGA